rnacentral:tRNA from 1 species
AACAUAUAAAGUAUAUCCUAUGUUACGGCCAUAGAGUAGACAACAGUUUUGUCGUAUGUUU